AUAAAGCAUUCAGAAAAUGGGAGGUUAUUUUGUCUGUGACAAUAUUAUCAACAACAUGUUGACACUGGCUGGGUCUCAGUGUGUGUGGGUGCCCAGGAAGCCCUCAGCCAUGAACAACCUGGAAGAUUCCCAGCAUCUGGGGGAAUUCCAGAAGCUGAGUCCAGCUAGCACAGUGGGUGUGGAAGCAGGAAAGAGCCCUGCCUGGUUCCUGCCACGCAUCGAAUGGCUGGAGUUAAUGCUCCUACACUUACAUAUAUUGACCGUUUACCUCCGUCUGAUCCCAGCGCUAGAUCUAUGAGCAAGGAGAAAGGAAAAAGGAGUUCGGGUUUAAACUCUUAUCACUAAAGCGAGUCUCCCUCUACAUUAAAAAACUAUCCAGACCCUGUGGCAGGAAUGGGCUCUGUUCUUGGGGCAUAAAUUUGUGUGUGUGGAAAAAAGACUUAUUGGUGAAUUUAGCAGUAUUUUUCGUUGAACUGGCAGUUGCUAACCAUUACACCAGUAUUUAUUUGAUUCUUAAAGAGUACAAAACCAUGGACCACAAAUAAAGAAGAUGGAGUAAUAGUUUGUGGCUGGGCCACGAGCUUUAAACUUGAAAUGAAGUGUCCAGUUUUGAGUUACUGUGUCCAACCACCAUUUGUACAGUUUGAAAAGUGGGGGCAUUUUUCCAGGCUGUCAGUGUGACUGUAGUUCAUUCCCGUGAAUGAUAUCGCUGAAGGAGCAGUUGUUCUGCUGUGAGCACCUCACUCAUGACCAGAAUAUAUUAAAUGUAUUAAUCUGGGCCUCCCAGCAUAAUUUAGGAAGGCCCUCUAUUUGACACAUUCCUGUACAUCCUUGUUUUAUUGCUUGCUCCGGCAGGUAACAAUGUCUCAAAAGUCUUGCUCCUGAAUGAAGUUAAAAUUACAUGUCACCCAAUAGCAUAUGCAGUUGAGUGGCUUAUUUGCUGUCAAAAUUACCACCCUGCAACAACAUGAGACGUUAAUGGGGACGUAGCAUGAUUUACCUCGCUGGCCCUGGGAUGGGAGGGGAGGGCAGACUCCUGUAUCCAAGUAGCCACGUGCUAGGGGAAGCUGUGAAUGUCUCCACCCGUUGGCUCUGCCUUUAAUACCCAAACCGUGUCCCUGAGCAUGGGAGAUGAGAGUGGGUGGUGUUUGGAUACCCUCCCAAAUAAUUGCUAAACUUGUUUUAAGUCUGCAUGGGAAAAAAAAGUCUGUUUCAAGUAGGUUAGUUCUCCACCAACAACAGGAUUUAUAAUCUGUUUUCCAGUUAAGCUGGAAACUGUUGUCUCUUAAGAAUAUGCCCAAGACUUGACCUAGGAAUGUCUGAUUUUAAGGGUGCAGGGAGCAGCCUAGAUUUACAAUUUGACACAGUAUUUUUCUACUCUGCCAAACCAGAGUCGUCUUUGGAAUGUUUAUGAGCUCAGGUAGCAAGAGAAAGCCGCAAAGCCGAGGUGUACCUUUAAUGACAUUAGGGAUUAUCUACUUGAGAAGCAUGUCAUACGUAGUUUAAAACCUCCUAGGAAAGAAGGAGAACAAAUGGCCGAUAAGUAUAUGAAAAGAUGUUCAACACUAGCAAUUAGGGAAAUGCAAGUCAAAACUGAACUGAGAUCUCACCCAGUCAGAAUAUCUAUCGUCAAGAAUAUAAAAAACAAUAAAUACUGGGGAAGAUGUUGCGGGGUGGAGGGGGGCAUUUUCCCAUUGCUAGUGGGAAUAUGAAUUGGUACAGCCACUAUGGAAAUCAGUAUGACGAUUCCUCAAAAAACUAUAACUAGAGUUACUAUUUGAUCCAGCUGUAUUAGUCCUUGGUAUAUACUUGAAGGAAUUAAAGACAGCAUACUAAUAACAAUGUUCACUGCAACAUAAUUCAAAAUAGCCAAGAUACAGAGCCAGCCUAAGUGCCCAUCAACAGAUGAAUGGAUAAAGAAAAUGUAGUACAUAUACAUAAUGGAGUUUUAUUCAGUCGUAAAGAAGAAUGAAAUUUUGUUACUUGCAGGAAAAUGGAUGGAACUGGAGACCAUCGUGUUGAACAAAAUAAGCCAAACUUAGACAAAUAUCAUAUCUUCUCCCUAAAAUGUGGAAUCUAAAAAAGAAGGGAAACUAAUAGACAAGAGGAAGGGAAUAAGGAGGAGAGGGUGUAAUGAAUGGUACUACUAAGGGUGGAUAUGAUCAAAAUAUGUGCAUUGAAACUCAAUAAUUUAUAAAAUUAACAGGCACUAAUAAUAAAAGAGAAAAAAUAAAUAAACCCACGUGGGUACAAAAAUUCAGUCCUGGGUGCUUUAGCUUUUCUGGGCCCUUCCUACUCACAUGUGCACAAUUAAAAGUAUGUUUUAUAACUUCAUUGGUACCAAGACAAAUAUAAUUCAUGCUAGAUUCAUGUUUAUGUAGUCAUUUCUAUAUAUUCAUUGUUUUCUGAUUUUAAAGAACUAGAAACUAAACAUUUUUGUGAGCCCUGGGCACUGGGCCUGCUAUACUUGAUCUAAGCUUCCAGCCAUUCGCCAGUGUUUUGUUUUGUUUCGUAGAGCUGGAGGUCAAAUCCAAGGCCUACUGAGUGCAAGACAAGUGCUGUAUGGCUAAGCUACACCCCAGCCAGGAGUCUCUUUGUUUCAAGGCCAAUAUAAUCUGACCCUGCCAGCUCAUGGAAAGGCUUAGGCCAGGGUGCUGCUGUGGUCUUUCCAGUGCAUUUGCAAGAUGGGGACAUCUCUGAACAUGGGAGCAGAAAGCUCUACCUGCAGCCAUGGAGGCCUGCAAUGAUGGCAAAGGGCAUUAAUGAUGAGCUCCUGCCCCUGACCCCGACCUCAUCAACCACUGCUCCUCUCCCCAGCCGGGUUCUGCAAUCCAGCCAGCUGCAGAGGAGUUUAAAGGGUAGCCGUCCCCAGUCAGCCAGCUGGCCAUUAAUAAUGUUUUCAUCCGUGACAAUGACAAACCUGCAGUACUUGUGGAGAGUUUAUUAAGAAAAGACAGUGAAAUGGAAGUCCCUAUGGUAAUCAAUUCUCAAUUGUGCAGAAGCAUCAACAAAUCAGAAUGGCCCAAUGGUCAGGCUAGUGAGUUCUCUUAAAUGUUCUACCUUCUGUUAGUUCCCACAUCUUGCAAGAUUCAAAUUCAAGCUAGAGAGCCUCAGGGUUGGACACAGAGUAUGAACAGUAUGGAAUUCCCACUCAGAGUCACAGGCAAGAAGGAAGGAAGACUUGGAGCCUCUGGUCUAAGGAUUCGGUUCUGCCAUUCUAUUCAGUUUAGUGAAUGUCUCGAGAGUAUGUCUUCUAAGCCAGGUCCUGGGCCAAGGGCACAGGGUAGGGGGAGGGAAGAGAUACAGUAACAACAAGCUGGCAUGGGACCAAUCGUGAGAUGUACAGUGAUGGCUAUGUCAGUAGUGUAGACCACCACUCCACCAUAAAGACCUCCACAGGGGAAAGGAAUUCCAGGAAGGCUUCACAGAGGAGGUAUCUCAGUGAAAUCGAGGCUUGAAGAACAAGUGGAGAAAUGUCAUAUGGGAAAGGAAAGGACAUGCUGGGUGCUAUGGGCUGAACUGUGUCCCCUUGAAAUUCAAACGCUGAAAUACUAACCUGCAAAUAGUAUCUUAGAAUGAGACUAUUUGGAGACAGUGUAAAGAGGUAAUUAAUUAAAAUGAAGUCACUGAGGUGGGCCUUCAUUCACUCUGACUGAUGUUCUUCUGAGAUGAGGAGAUCUGGGCACAGAGAUCUGAAUCACCUUUGUACAGGGAGAAGCCAAAGAGAGAGGCCUCAGAUGAAAUCAGCCUUGAGAACUUGAUCUCAAACUUCCAGCAUCUAGAAUGGUGAGAAAACAAAUACCUGCUGUUUGAGGGUGCCCAGCCUAUGGCUCUUUGUUAGUGAUAGUGAAAAAAAUAUACCAGGGACGCAAAGAGCUCCAACCAAGUUCUGGAAGUGACUGUGACUGAGUACUCAGAGAACUGUGUUGCUCUGAGGAGUUGGAGAAGCCUGAAGGAGACAGAAUCUGCUUGCCAGAGGCAUCUGGACCCCAGAGUUCUUGGCCCCUUCCAUUUACAAAUUUUUCUUUUCUUUCUUUUUUUUUUUUUGUACCUGGGAUCGAACUCGGGUCAUUGCGCUUGCGAGGCAGGCAGUGAAACCACUGAGCUAAAUCCUCAGCCCCCUUGGCCCCUUCCAGAUGGAUGCUUUCAUGGGCACCCCGUGGCAAGCUUUCCCCUUUCUGCUUCCACCUUCCCGGAGGAAGCUGGACACGCACUCUUUGCUUUGCUUCGGUGCAAACUCACAAGCAGAUCCCAGCUCAGAAUGCCAUUCUCCUUUCCUGGGUCUCCCCAGUCAGAACCAUUUAUACUCUAUUUACUUGAUGGAGUAAUGUCAACAGAUACUCUAAUGACUAGGGUUGCAUGUCUCCUCCAACAGUCUUGCUUCCUGGCCUUUCACACCUAAGACCCUCCCAGGUCUCUCUCAGUGGAUGACUACUGGGGGAAACUGAACUAAGCUCAAAGCCAAAGCCCAACUAGAAGAUGUUUUAGAAACAGUAAAGCCUCUGUGCUGUGGGAGUGUGUGAUAGGCUGAUUAAUGGCUCUUAAGCAUGUAAGGUCCUGAUCCCUGGAACCUGUAAAAUCUCCUUAUAUGGAAAAGGGUCUUUACUGAUGUGAUCUUGAGAUGGAGGGGUCACUUGGAUUAUCCUAGUGGGCUUGAAUGCAGUUACAUGCAUCCUUAUAAGCAGAGGGCAGAGAGAAUUUGACACACAUAGAGAUGCUGAUGUGAAGACGGAGUCAAGAUGGAGCAGCAGAUGCUGGUCCUGAAGACAAGAAUGAUACAACCACAAGCUAAGGAAAGCCAGCAGAAGCCAGAAAAGGCAAGGAAAGUAUAUUUCCUUAGCGUCUCUGAGAAAACAAGGCCUUCCUCACAUCCUGAUUCAGCCCUCGACUGACUUCAAAUCUUUGACCUCUGGAACUAUGAAAGAAUAAAUUCUUGUUUUAAGAUAUCAAGUUCCUGGUAAUCUGCUACAGAAGCCACUGGAAAUUCAUAUAGAGGUAGGUCAGGACCCUCCAUUAGGCCCCAACACCUGCUAGGUCUAGCCCUAUACAGUAUUAGCUUUUUGUUACUCUAAGGAAAUAUCUGAGAUAAUCAAUUUAAGGAGAGAGAAAGGUUUAACUUUGAAUCAUAGAGGUUUCUGUCAAUGGUUGGUUGGUCCUGCUCCUUUGGGGCCUGUAGCAAGACAGCACUUUACCUUAUGGCCAGGAAUGAAGAGGAAGAGGAGGCACUGGGGUCCCGCUCUCCCCUUCAGAGACUUGCCUCCAAUGGCCAGAAGAUUCCCAACAGCUCCAAGCUGGAGAUCAUGCCUUUCACAUGUGUGCCUUUGGAGGACAUUUCAGAUCCAAACUAGAGCAAUCUCUCUCUCUCUCUCUCUCUCUCUCUCUCUCUCUCUCUCUCUCUCUUCCUUAGUUUCCUGCCCUGUGCACUUGUGCAAUGGGAACAAUAGCCAACCUCAUCCUGUGCACUCUGCAGCUCUUUUUUCCAAAGCUCAGAGAAGGCCUGGUAUAUGCUGAUAUGCAUCGGGGUCAAGGGCACCCACAGGAUCAGGCUUGGGAGCUCCAGCAGCUGCCCCACAGGCAGCAGAACAUCACAACCUUGAGUCGACCUUGUUAUCUGAGAGCCCGAGGAGCCCCCACUGCCAUGUUCACUACAUAUUCUCACUUAUUGUGCCCAAUUGGAUGAUAAAUGCAGAGGCUGCAGGGACACUGGGCUGAAAAGGUCCUGCCAACUGAGAGAUGUAGCUCAGGCACCAUAAAUAAUUUCCUUCUUACUGGGGAUUUAGCUCAGUGGUGUCACCGCCUGCCUCGAAAGCUCAAGGUCCAGAGUUCAAUCCCCGGUACCAAAAAACAAAAACAAAAACAAAACAAAAAAAAUAAUUUCCCUCCCAAAGGCCUGGCUUUCUUGAAUGCGGAGAUCCUGGAGGGCUCUGCUGCCUGCCUCACAACUGACAGUGCUCAACAGGAAACCAGAAGUGGGGGAGAGAGGUCAUGCACUCCUGGUGUGCUAGCCCUCCUGGGGUUUGGGGGCAGGGCUUGGGUCCAGAGGGCCUCCAGGCAGGGCCUUGCUCCAGGGAGCAGGCUGCUCAGGAGCUGCUUACCUCCGGUCAGGGAGCAGUUCUAGGAGCUGCUCACCUGUAUGGCCCAGCAGUGCCCGCCCUUGAGGUCCUCUCCUGGGUCACUGUCACCCCCCUCCACCUUAAUCCCACUAACUUUCUGAGUCAUCCUCUAUCACUGCCAUCCUCACUUUUUGCACUGCACUUUUCACAGCCUGAAAUCACUCACUUUGUCCUUAUUUGUUGUAUGUGAUGGACAGAGGAGGCUGAGUCUUCACUGCUGUCUCUGUCAUAGAGAUCUCACUCAGAAAAUACUGAACGAGUGAAUGAAUGAGAGUGGGCCCAAGAGCCAGAAAGAUUUUCCACAGACUGCAGAGGGGUGCUCAGAAUCAGUAUAGUAAAACCUCAGUGGGAAACUGGGGCCUCUCUCCGAGCACACAAAUGUGCCUGUCCUCCCGAGUUGGCAUCACUGCAUGGGUGUCCGGGACUCUAGAGAAGAUUCCAAAACCUUCAUGAAGCCUCUGAGGGGACUGAGGAGUGAGGAAGGUCCCUACCAUCAGAGAGAGCUCUGAUCCUGGCCCAAAGCCCAUGGCAGGAGACCCUCAGCCACCCUCUAAAGGAUACCCAGGUUAUGAUGGUGGCUGUAUCUGGGGUCAGACAGGCACCAGAGGGUGGCAGUGGGAGAGAUGAACAGGGGAUCUCGUGUGAAUUUCACUGAUUAGUCACAGCAUUCUAAUUAAAGGCCACAAAGCAAGGCCUCAGGCUUCUUUCAAAGAACGGGGGCCAUAUUCAUCUCACAGCCCUGUCGUCACUAGUGAUGCCCAGCCAUCUGAGGGCUGGAGAUUGAGUCCAAAGCUUACCACGCUUCCCUUACUCUUUUGGAGCUGGGACUCAUCAUGGGCUGCACCCAUCUUAAGGGGACCCCUUCAUUUCUUCUCUGCAUCCAGUUUCCUUGGUGACAUUUUAAUCAGUUUGAACUGGAAAGAAGUCUUCCUCUCGUCACCCUCUGAAAAUAUUUAAUUGUUAAACUUCCUUUUAAAAAAAAUUUUGCUGCUUAAUGUUUCAGUAUUUCUAAACAAACCAAUUUUACAGACAUUGCGUCCUUAAUGGGACCUAAUUAUGGGAGUGUUCCAGCAAAGAUGCAGGGGCUGCGGGGGUCAUUCAGGAAGUUGCACGUUCCCCAGGAGGAGGGGCUGCAGGAGGAGCUUGGAGGAUUCUUACAUCAUUACACACCAUAAUUACACGUACUUUUACUAGGGGCUGUGAAAAUGCUUUCUUACAAAUAAUUAAAUUCAGCACAACCAGAACUGCAUUGAGAAGAUACAAACCUUUCAGAAAAGCAACAAAAUCAGCACCUGUGGAUUAAAUCUUUACAGUCACCUUCAUUAGGCCUCAAUCCAUCCCCUCUAUUCACUCUCUCCUGAGAGGGAGCAGAAGAAUUCCCCUACAGUGACAAUGGCUUCAGUCAGAAAACCUACAUCUGAGCCUCAGAUCUGCUAUAUAUCCUGCGGUUGGAAUUUGGUGUGAGUUAUUUCCCCCGAGCUUUAGUUUUCUUAUCUGUAAAAUGCGGAUCAGAGGAACAUAAGGCUUGGCAGAGCUAGGAGGAUCAAAUGAGAUGAUGGAUGGAAGCAUGCUUUACAAACUAUGAAAGGCCAGAUACACUACUCAGAGAUUUAGCCUCUCUUGGAGAAUGUACUGGAGGAGCCAGAGGCCCAGAUGCCCAGGCCAGUUGCCUGCCAGACAAACUGGAACCCUCCACCGAGGGUGUUCUGUCUGCCCAUUGCCGAACAAACCUAACACUUCUCUUACAUUUCAGGGCCCACCGUGCUCUCAGAGACCCAUGGUCAACUGUCCCAGUAUUUCUAUUUUCACUCUCCUUUCUAGUGACUGGAGACCUGUAAGAUGGGUAUUUCAGAAAGCCCAAUGUCUGGGUCUCUGGGCCACCAGCUACACCAUCAAGCCUCUGACUUAAAAGUAAAAUUAGAUCAUAUGAUGGGUGACUCGUUGAAAUUAACCUGU
rnacentral:lncRNA from 1 species